UACGAAGGGUGCAAACGUUGCUCGGAAUCAUUGGGCGUAAAGCGUGCGCAGGCGGUUAUGCAAGACAGAUGUGAAAUCCCCGGGCUCAACCUGGGAACUGCAUUUGUGACUGCAUAGCUAGAGUGCGGCAGAGGGAGAUGGAAUUCCGCGUGUAGCAGUGAAAUGCGUAGAUAUGCGGAGGAACACCGAUGGCGAAGGCAAUCUCCUGGGCCUGCACUGACGCUCAUGCACGAAAGCGUGGGGGAGCAAACAGG
rnacentral:rRNA from 1 species